UUUAUCUAAAGGCAAACUCACUGAAAGGUGAGGACGCAAAACUAUAGGGGCUUCCGUCCUUGGACCAGCCAGCCAGCUACCAUC
rnacentral:ncRNA from 1 species